CUAAAGGCUUGGUCCUAACCUUACUAUUAAUUUUAACUAUACUUACACAUGCAAGUAUCUGCCCCCCUGUGAAAAUGCCCUACCUUACCCUUAAGUAAAAAAGGAGCUGAUAUCAGGCACUUUAAAGCCUAUGACAUCUUGCUCAGCCACACCCCCAAGGGAACAUCAGCAGUGAUAAAUAUUGGUAAAUAAGCGGUAAGCUUGAACCAGUAAUAGUUAAUAGGGCUGGUUAAUCUCGUGCCAGCCACCGCGGUUAUACGAGAAGCCCAAAUUAAUAAUAUCGGCUCAAAGAGUGGUUAAAGAAUAUUAACAAAAAAUAAGGUUAAAUAUAAAUUAAGCUGUCGCACGCAAACAUUUAUUAUAAAACCUUAAACGAAAGUUACCUUAAAAUAAAAUUAACUUGAACCCACGACUUCUGGGACAUAAACUAGGAUUAGAUACCCUACUAUGCCCAGACAUAAACUUUGAUUAUUCCGCCAGAGCACUAUGAGCAACAGCUUAAAACUCAAAGGACUUGGCGGUGCUCCACACCCACCUAGAGGAGCCUGUUCUAUAAUCGAUACCCCCCCGAUACCCCCCCGCUAUACCUCACCAUCUUUUGCUAAUCCCGCCUAUAUACCACCGUUGUCAGCUUACCCUUUAAAGGAAAGAUAGUAAGCAUAAUGGCACACACCAAAACGUCAGGUCAAGGUGUAGCAUAUAAGAUGGGUAGAAAUGGGCUACAUUUUCUUAUUAAGAAAAAUACGAAAGAUCAUAUGAAACUAAGAUCCAAAGGUGGAUUUAGCAGUAAAAAGAAACAAGAGUGUUCUCUUUAAUUAGGCCCUGGAGCGCGCACACACCGCCCGUCACCCUCAUCAAAUAAAUCAUUAACCUUAAUAAAACAAAACCCAAAAAAAGAAGAGGAAAGUCGUAACAUGGUAAGUCUACCGGAAGGUGAACUUGGAAUAA
rnacentral:ncRNA from 1 species